rnacentral:rRNA from 1 species
GAUGAACGCUGGCGGCGUGCUUAACACAUGCAAGUCGAGCGAUGAAGUUUCCUUCGGGAAACGGAUUAGCGGCGGACGGGUGAGUAACACGUGGGUAACCUGCCUCAUAGAGUGGAAUAGCCUUCCGAAAGGAAGAUUAAUACCGCAUAACGUUGAAAGAUGGCAUCAUCAUUCAACCAAAGGAGCAAUCCGCUAUGAGAUGGACCCGCGGCGCAUUAGCUAGUUGGUGGGGUAACGGCCUACCAAGGCGACGAUGCGUAGCCGACCUGAGAGGGUGAUCGGCCACAUUGGGACUGAGACACGGUCCAGACUCCUACGGGAGGCAGCAGUGGGGAAUAUUGCACAAUGGGGGAAACCCUGAUGCAGCAACGCCGCGUGAGUGAUGAAGGUUUUCGGAUCGUAAAGCUCUGUCUUUGGGGAAGAUAAUGACGGUACCCAAGGAGGAAGCCACGGCUAACUACGUGCCAGCAGCCGCGGUAAUACGUAGGUGGCGAGCGUUAUCCGGAUUUACUGGGCGUAAAGGGAGCGUAGGCGGAUGAUUAAGUGGGAUGUGAAAUACCCGGGCUCAACUUGGGUGCUGCAUUCCAAACUGGUUAUCUAGAGUGCAGGAGAGGAGAGUGGAAUUCCUAGUGUAGCGGUGAAAUGCGUAGAGAUUAGGAAGAACACCAGUGGCGAAGGCGACUCUCUGGACUGUAACUGACGCUGAGGCUCGAAAGCGUGGGGAGCAAACAGG